rnacentral:rRNA from 1 species
GAUGAACGCUGGCGGCGUGCCUAAUACAUGCAAGUCGAGCGAACAGACGAGGAGCUUGCUCCUCUGACGUUAGCGGCGGACGGGUGAGUAACACGUGGAUAACCUACCUAUAAGACUGGGAUAACUUCGGGAAACCGGCGCUAAUACCGGAUAAUAUAUUGAACCGCAUGGUUCAAUAGUGAAAGACGGUGUUUCUGUCACUUCUAGAUGGUUCCCGGCCGCAUUAGGUAGUUGUUAAGGUAACGGCUUACCAAGGCAACGAUGCGUAGCCGAACUGAGAGGGUGAUCGGCCACACGGGAACUGAGACACGGUCCAGACUACUAAGGGAGGCAGCAGUAGGGAAUCUGCCGCAAUGGGCGAAAGCCUGACGGAGCAACGCCGCGUGAGUGAUGAAGGUCUUCGGAUCGUAAAACUCUGUUAUUAGGGAAGAACAAAUGUGUAAGUAACUAUGCACGUCUUGACGGUACCUAAUCAGAAAGCAACGGCUAACUACGUG